UGGGGAAUAUUGCGCAAUGGGGGAAACCCUGACGCAGCGACGCCGUGUGAGGGAAGAAGGCCUUCGGGUCGUAAACCUCUGUCAGAAGGGAAGAACCGCUUAGGUUCGAAUAGGACUUGAGUCUGACGGUACCUUCAGAGGAAGCACCGGCUAACUCCGUGCCAGCAGCCGCGGUAAUACGGAGGGUGCAAGCGUUAAUCGGAAUCACUGGGCGUAAAGCGCUCGUAGGCGGCAUUGUAAGUCAGGCGUGAAAGCCCUCGGCUCAACCGAGGAACUGCGUUUGAUACUGCAGAGCUUGAGUAUCGGAGAGGGUGGCGGAAUUCCGGGUGUAGGAGUGAUAUCCGUAGAGAUCCGGAGGAACACCAGUGGCGAAGGCGGCCACCGUGGACGAUAACUGACG
rnacentral:rRNA from 1 species